rnacentral:rRNA from 1 species
CCUACGGGUCGCACCAGUGGGGAAUAUUGCACAAUGGGCGCAAGCCUGAUGCAUCCAUGCCGCGUGUGUGAAGAAGGCCUUCGGGUUGUAAAGCACUUUCAGCGGGGAGGAAGGCGGUGAGGUUAAUAACCUCACCGAUUGACGUUACCCGCAGAAGAAGCACCGGCUAACUCCGUGCCAGCAGCCGCGGUAAUACGGAGGGUGCAAGCGUUAAUCGGAAUUACUGGGCGUAAAGCGCACGCAGGCGGUCUGUCAAGUCGGAUCUGAACUCCCCGGGCUCAACCUGGGAACUGCAUUCGAUACUGGCAGGCUAGAGUCUUGUAGAGGGGGGUUGAAUUCCAUGUGUAGCGGUGAAAUGCGUAGAGAUGUGGAGGAAUACCGGUGGCGAAGGCGGCCCCCGGGACAAAGACUGACGCUCAGGUGCGAAAGCGUGGGGAGCAAACAGGAUUAGAUACCCGCGUAGUC